AUAAGUUUGCGCUCUGUAACGGGAUGGGAUCUGAAGCCUCCUUAAAAUGCCAUCCAACUCCUAUUCCGACACGUCCACGUCGUGCAGAGUGGUAACAUGGGCCCAAGUCCAACCAUUCGGCUGAAUGAAGGCUCUUGGCUAAGAAGGAGGGG
rnacentral:ribozyme from 1 species